rnacentral:rRNA from 1 species
CUAGGUGUAGCGGGUAUUGACCCCUGCUGUGCCGAAGCUAACGCAUUAAGUGAUCCGCCUGCGNAGUACGACCGCAAGGUUAAAACUCAAAGGAAUGACAGAGGCCACGCACAANCGGUGGAGCAUGUGGAUUAAUUCGACACAACGCGAAGAACCUUACAUGGGUUGACUAUCCCGAGAAGUCUUUCGAAAGUUAGAUGUGCCAUUCGGGGAAAUCGGUGACAGGUGCUGCAUGACUGUCGUCAGCUCAUGUCGUGAGAUGAUGGGUUAAGUCCCGCAACGAGCGCAACCCCUAUCUUUAGUAACCAGCAUUGNNUUGGGGACUCUAGAGAUACUGACCCGGUCAACGGGGACGAAGGUGGGGAUGACGUCAAGUCAUCAUGGCCUUUAUGCCUAGGCUACUACACGUGAUACAAUGGNCUGUACUAANGGUUGCGAUCCCGCGAGGGGAGCCCAAUCCCCAAAAGCAGCCAGUAGUUCGAUUUGAGUCUGCAACUGACUCCAUGAAGUGGAAUCGCUAGUA